AUGCACAAUGGAAGUUCAUCCCAUCCUCCCCCAUCCUCCCCCAUCCCGGCCACCCCACCACGGAAAGCAAAGCGAAGUUCGUUCUCCCGCAGGGCCACAGAGGAGCCGGCUCGGGGGCCCAGGGCAGAAGCUGAGCGAGCAGGGGGGGGCGCGGGGAGAAGGCGCAGAGGGAGCGCGGUGCACUUUGCUUUGCGCCUCUGCAGAUGCACGCCAGAGCCCCGGGCCGCUCCCGUCCUUACCCCGUCUCCCGGAGACCCGGUCCUGCUACUGCGGCGCGAAGCAAGGGCCGAGGGGACGCGGCGUCGGGGCGGGCCGCCGGCUGCAGCCUCGGGCGCCGAGGGCCACCGCCGCUUCGCGGAGCUGCUGCGGGCGUGCGCCGGGGGAGCCGAAGAAGGAGCCUGGGGACGGGGGGAAGGGGAGCCGCAUCUCCUUCUCCUCCUCGCCUCGGAAACGCCCCUCCGCGGCGGCCCCCGCCGCCCGCCGGACCCCGGAGCGCCGAGCACCCUCUCCGCCCUCCCGCGCUCGGCGCGCCUCCCAGAGCCUCUGCAGCCACAGCCUCCGGCGCGGGACGGCGCGGGCCGGCUCAGCUCCUGCAGCGGGCUCCGAGCGCUGCCGACCGGGCCGAGGCGGAGCGGGGGGCGAGGGAGCGCAGCGCGCCAGCGAGACGGGCGCCGGGGGCCGCGAGCAUGGCGUGGGACCCUCGCCGCACCACGGCCGCCGCAGCUACUAGCACAGCCCCCGCGGCGCCGCAGGCAGCCGCGCGGCCCCGCCCCCGGCCCCGCCCCGCGCAGCCCCGGCCCCGCCCCGCGCAGCCCCGGCCCCGCCCCGCGCAGCCCCGGCCCCGCCCCGCGCAGCCCCGGCCCCGCCCCCGCUGCCGUCACUCAAGCCCGCCCCCUCCCGGCGCUCCCCUCCGCCCAUUGGCCCUCCCGGCCUCCGGCUCCGCCCCCUCCCGGGGGACGAGGUCGCCGCGGAGACCGGCGCCCCGGUUCCCAUGACAACCGGUGCCCGGGGCCUCGCUUUUCGGGUUGUGGCCGAGCAGACGCUCUGGCAGAUCGCGGGGCUGCAAAAGUAAGGACUGUGAUGGGAACUUUGCCCAGAGGAGAAGCAGAAGCAAGAUAAGUAAUCUACCAAAACAUGAGCAGGUAAUUGGAGCACAAAGUCUGACAGUGCUUAAGGAAGACUUUGUGAGACAGUACUGACACUUCCAAGUGAACCAAGAAUUAGCUAGGGAAAAAUGCAUCAAUGGAAACCAGAUAGGACUACAAUUACCCUCAGGUCCACUGAAUAAACAGGUUAUUUUCUUUUGGUGGUAGCUGAAGUCUCUUUAGAAUGUGAGAAUUCCCCUAGGAUGUAGAGUUACAUGACAGCAAUGGCACAGAUAACUCUAAACAUCGGGAGGUAGCCAGGUAGCUGAGUACAAUGAAAGAACACAGCAUUUGCACUCAAAAGACCUAAGUACAAAUCUUGACACGUCACCUCACUUCUUUGAGUGUCAUUUUCCUCAUUUAUAAAGUGAAGGAAAUAAAAAUAGCUGAUAUGUCCCACACAUAAUAGCCUGUAAUGUUCUUUCAGAAUUCAAUAGGAUUGAAUGAAAUAUGUGUAUGAAAACUGUAAAGUGCUAUUACAGAAAAUCAAACAACGAUAAAAGCAAAAGGUAUGCAGAUUUUUGAAUUAGUGUUCUAGACUUAAUUGAUUUUUUUUUAAAUAGUCUCAGUCAUUCUGAAGAGAAACUUUAAAAAAUAUUUAUCAGGUAGUAGGGCUAGCUAGUCCUGUGAAAGGUUAAAUUUGAAAAAUUUGUUGUGCUCCUGUAACUUCCACUUUUCUUUACCAACAAGAUUCUUAGCUCUUUUCCAAUUUCCCCCUGCUGGCCCCACAUUGACCAGGCCUUGUUAGUUCUCUGAUAGGGCUGGUAAUGUGUUAGGCUAAAAACAUUCACCUACUCCUGCAUUUUCCUGUUGCUUAAUGGCUCCCCCGGAGCCACAAUAGUUCCUGAAUGCCUCAGCUAGAAAUUCUCAUUUUUAGUUGCUAAAGAGUUAAACUGCAGAAGUGCCAACUUUAGAAUGUAGAAGUUAAAAUUCACCAUACCUUCCAGCUUUCUCUCUCAGCACAUUGGUAUAAUCUGAUUUAUCAGAUUAGGUAGUUGUCACAUUAAACCCUGAGGGUGAGAGAUACUAGAGAGGUAAAUUUUAAUUAACAAAGGGAAAGAAGGAACAAGGGAAGCCAGUUUCGGUAUGAGUGAAAGAGAAAGAGACAGGGAGAGAAGAAUUUGGUGGGGGAGAGGUGUGUGCUGUGAUGAUGAGCUGCUGGGCUGAUGAUACCAAGGGAGGGGAUCACGGAAGUAUGUGUAGUACUAAAGGGGUGUGGCACUGAAGUCAAACUGCCUAAUUCACUGUUUUUACUAGGGCUGGUCCCGUCUCUGACUCAUUUCUACUACUUGCCCUGGCAAGUUAUGUAACUGCCUAUUCAGUUUGGUGGGAGGGAAUAAGGCAAAGAAGCAUAACCCUUCUAUUUUUUGAAACUAAGCCAUGUGCAAACAUACACAAAGUAAUUUAAUGUGAACAUGCUGUCAUCUAAAUCUGACCUAUAGGGACUUGCCUUAGGAUUCAUGACUGCUAAUCUUAAUUUUCUUAAGUGUUCCCAGAAAUGGAGACCAAAUCAGAAAUUAAGCUUUCUAGUUUAAGCUCCAUUUUAAAGAGGGUGAUUUCACAUUGUCUGAUGGUAGUGAGCUGCAAUGCAAGAAAGUUGAUCAUUAAAGGCUUUGUUAGGUGGAGUCAGAGUGUUUAAUAAAAAACAAAGUAUCACUUCACAAAAAAUUUCUUUUUUUUCUUUAAAGAUUUUAUUUAUCCAUUUGAGAGAGAGAGAGAGAGUGUGAGAGAGAGAGAGAGCAUGAGCAGGGAGGCAGGAAGGGGGAGAAACAGUUGCCCUGCUGAGCAGGGGACUCCAUCCGAAAGACCCAAGCCAAAGGCAGAUGCUCACCCGACUGAGCCACCCAGGUGCCCCUGUAAAACAUUUCUUAAAAGUUGAUUUUUACAUUUUAUCCUAUAAUGUCUAAUAGAAAACAUAGGAGGAAAAGUAGUCUUAUCUGCAGGCACUGAUUAUCAAUUUAGGGCCAAAUUCUGACCUAGCAUAUUCCUAUAAAUGAGAGAAAUGCUGGAUCUGCCACAUUUUACAAUCGCAUGAGGAGAGGAAAUUUCUUAGAGAGUUGAAGUCUUAGGAUGAGUAGUCUUCAGUUCACCUUCAACUUAGAGAACUAUUAAAAAUUAUACAUACAUAUGCAAAUUAAGUAUUUUAUUUUUACCAAACCCCUAUCAUUAUACAUUCAUUAGUCAACCUUUUGAUGUUGAGCCAAGGCUGUUCUGACCAUAAAUCCGCUGUUGAGAGUUGAAGAUUGUCUUUUUGACAUUAACCUUGCCUAAAUGCAAAAUCUACAAUUUUCUCAUUUGGUUUCUGUUAAAGGAAAUGUAGAAGUUGAGGACACUUGUGUAAUACAGUCCAGUUUUCUUGCCUCUGGUAAUUCAUGACAGUAAUUUGUCUUUCUACAGCAUUCAACUUCAUUUUUAAAAAAAUAGUGGUAAAAUAUACAUAACCUAAAAUUCAUUACCUUAAGUGUUUUUAAAUUUCAACUUUACUCUCAUUUUAUUUUCAUUUUGCACUUGACACUUAAUAAAGUAUACAAAAUUAAAUUACCUCAUUACAUUAGCAAGAAUAUCUCACAUUAAUAAUUUGGGAAACUGGGCGGCCCAGGUGGCUCAGCGGUUUAGCGCCGCCUUCCGCCUGGGGUGUGAUCCUGAAGAUUCGGGAUCGAGUCCCAUGUCAGGCUCCCUGCACGGAGCCUGCUUCUCCCUCUGUCUGUGUCUCUGCCUCUCUCUCUCUCUCUGUGUGUGUGUGUGUGUGUGUGUGUCUCUCAUGAAUAAAUAAAUAAAAUCUUACAAAAAAAGAAUUUGGGAAACUAAAACAACUGAUUUUUUAAAAGAUUUAUUUAUUUUAGAGAGGGAGAGAGUGUGCACUCAUGGGAGCAGUGUUGUGGGGGUGGUGGAGGGGCAGAGGGGGAGAGAGAGAAAGAAUCGUCAAGCAUAUUCCCCCCCUUGAUGCUGAGACAAUGUAGGGCUUGAUCCCAGGACCCUGAGAUCAUGACCUGAGCCAAAAUCAAGAUUGGCUGCUUAACUGACAGCCAGUGGAGCCAUCCAGGUGCCCCUAAAAAAUUGAUUUUUAUGUAAGUUUCAUAAGGUCAAGAUUUUAGUCUGUUUUAUUUACUGUUUUGUCCCUAACUCCUAGAAUACAGCCUGUCACAUAGUGACACUCAGAUACUAUUAUACUGGUAGUUAUAACUCAGCUGGAGGAUGCAUAAAUGUGCAGGUAUGCUCUGAUACAGCUUGUUAGUAAACAUUCAGCAGCCAUGGACAUCAGUCUCUGUGUUAAUCUUAUGGUUUGAAUAAAUGAGGGUCAUUUAAUAGAGCUAUUUUAUUUUGAAAAAUCCCUAUACAGUGCUUAACACAAUACCUUGUAUGCAAUACAUGUUGAGAAAAUAUUAAUCUUUGUUGAUUGUUGGUUGAUCUUUUUAUUCUUGUUACUCUACUGAGGCAAGGAGAAAGAGAAAGGGGUGAGGACAAAUAGAACAAAUAUUAAUAUUGAGAAUAUAUACAUAUAUAUAUACUCUCAGAGUGUGUGUGUGGGGGGGACUUUUCUACUCUCUCAAGACAGUUCUGGAACUUUGCCAUUAAUAUGAACUCAAAGAAUAAUGAACUUUCUUCCCUUUGAUCAGAGAAUAUACUCCAAUUACUCAGCUUUCAGUAAGCAUUCCCUUGACUCAUUGUAGUUUGAGUGAUCCUCCAUUCUCUUGUCCAGUUCUCUUAAUGGGAAAGUCUUUUCAAUACCAUCAAUGGCAACUUGAAUUAGAUGAAGAGUUAAAGCAUCUAUCAGCCAAAAACCUUUUAGCCAAAAAUCACUGUCUUUAAAACUCUCACCAGCCUGAGCUAUAGACCGGAUGGAUUCCAAUUAUACUAUUAACUCAAAUUGAGGCCCAUCUUCUUCCAUAUGUAGGACUCCAGACUCCUGAAAAUGUGUCAUCUACCUCCCAUACUUCCAGAAUUUUCCAAGUGAAGGUUUACAUGUAUUCUGUAAUGUUUGACUUUGUGCUUGUACUCAAACCUCUUCCUGAAAGUCUAAUGCCUGAACAUCACUUGCAGUAGGGUGUUUGCCAUUUCCACUGCUGCUUGUGCCCUCCAUGGGAUAAUCAGUAUUGGUGUUAAGGAGAUCAUCACUCAGUGCUCCCAAAGCUGUCAACAAUGAGCCAGAGCAGAGCUGGGCUCAACUGCAGAAGUAAGGCCAUCAUUGUGUCAUACUUAGUCAUGUGAUUCCUGAAGCAGCACUGCUUAUGUUCAUUAUAUCACAAUGUCUCUGAUGAAAUUAGCUAAUUUAAGUAGAUAGAGGUGAAGGGACGGAGUCAUCAUGCCAAGCCUUUCCCUUUGCUGUCAUCACCUUACACACAUUCACUAUUCACACAUAUACUCUUACCCUGUUCUUCAGCCAAACAUAGAAAGUAUUUCUGUGCGUGAACUUUCUCAAAUAGAUGCUCUGAAUAGUCCUCGUGUUCAGUUAAUAGUCAGACUCUGAUAAUCAGAAUAUUGAAGGAGGAUGUGGUAGGGAAUCAGUACCAUUCUUUUUUAGUUAGGAGAGAUAGCCUCUGGUUAAAGCAUAAUCUUUUACUUUGGGCAUCUGACCAUGUUUUUAUCAGUAGAAUAUAGACUCUUUGAGGACAAUGCGUCAGAAAGGCUAUUAGCUGUGUAAGUAGUGACUUAAGCAGAAAGGAUUCUUUUUCUCAUAAGAAUCCAGGUUGUAGGCAACUGCUCCUGAUGUCCAAGCCUGAGUCAUUGCAGUUCAGUUCUUCUUUGCCUUCCUCUUCAAUCAUAAGACUGUUGAAACUCUAUAGAUAUUCAAUCCUCUUUCAAGACCAGAAGAAGGAUGGAAACAUAUGAGGUCAACCUUGGUU
rnacentral:lncRNA from 1 species